rnacentral:rRNA from 1 species
GCUUGUCUCAAAGAUUAAGCCAUGCACGUCUAAGUAUAAGCGAUUAUACUGUGAAACUGCGAAUGGCUCAUUAUAUCAGUUAUAGUUUAUUUGAUGGUCCUUGCUACUUGGAUAACCGUAGUAAUUCUAGAGCUAAUACAUGCAUAAAGCCCUGACUGUUUGGAAGGGGUGUAUUUAUUAGAUGGAAACCAAUUCGGGGCAACCCGGUAUAUGGUGAUUCAUAAUAACUUUCGGAUCGAUCUUCGGAUCGAUGCAUCAUUCAAGUUUCUGCCCUAUCAGCUUUGGAUGGUAGGAUAUGGGCCUACCAUGGCAUUAACGGGUAACGGGGAAUUAGGGUUUGAUUCCGGAGAGGGAGCCUUAGAAACGGCUACCACAUCCAAGGAAGGCAGCAGG